rnacentral:rRNA from 1 species
ACGCCAUAGAGGGNGAGAGCCCCGUCUGGUUGGAUGCCAAAUCUCUGUAAAGUUCCUUCAACGAGUCGAGUAGUUUGGGAAUGCUGCUCUAAAUGGGAGGUAUAUGUCUUCUAAAGCUAAAUACCGGCCAGAGACCGAUAGCGCACAANUAGAGUGAUCNAAAGAUGAAAAGCACUUUGAAAAGAGAGUUAAAAAGUACGUGAAAUUGUUGAAAGGGAAGCGUUUAUGACCAGACUUGGGCUUGGUUAAUCAUCUGGGGUUCUCCCCGGNGCACUUUUCCAGUNCAGGCCAGCAUCAG